GACGAACGCUGGCGGCGUGCUUAACACAUGCAAGUCGAACGGAAAGGCCCUUCUUUUGUGGUUUGCUCGAGUUGCGAACGGGUUAGUAACACGUGAUUAACCUGCCCUUUACUUUUUUAUAACUUCAGUUAACUUUGGCUAAUACCGGAUAGGAUCUCCUUCUUCAUGGUGUGUGUUGGAUAUUUUCGGCGGUUGGUGAUGGACUCGCGGCUUAUCAGCUUGUUUGUGGGGUAGUGGCUUACCAAGGCUUUGACGGGUAGCCGGCCUGAGAGGGUGACCGGAGAAAUGGGGACUGAGAUACGGCCCAGAAGGCAACGGGAGGCAGAAGUGGGGAAUAUGGCACAAGGGGCGGAAGCAUGAUGCAGAAACGCAGGGUGCGGGAUGAAGGCAUUAGGGUUGUAAACAGAUUUAGAAUGAGAAGAAGAGGGAGUGACGGUAAUGGGUAAAGAAGCAACGGCUAACUACGUG
rnacentral:rRNA from 1 species